rnacentral:tRNA from 1 species
GGAAGUUUAGCUUAAUGGUAAAGCGCUUGACACGAAAUCACGGGGAUGUGAGCUCGAGUCUCAUGGCUGACG